rnacentral:rRNA from 1 species
CUUGGAAUAAGGGGUGGGUAAAGACGGGGCCAGCCGCCGCGGUAAUACCGGCGCCUCAAGUGGUAGUCGCUUUUAUUGGGCCUAAAACGUCCGUAGCCGGUCUGAUACAUUUCUGGGUAAAUCAACCAGCUCAACUGGUUGAAUUCUGCGAGGACGGCCAAACUUGGGACCGGGAAAGGUGUGGGGUACCCUCAGGGUAGGGGUAAAAUCUGGUCAUCCUGAGAGAACCCCCGGUUGCAAAGGCGCCACCCUGGAACGGAUCCAACGGUCAGGGACAAAGCCUAGGGGCACGAACCGAAUAAAAUACCCGGGUAGUCCUAGGGGUAAACGCUGUGAACUUGGUGUGGGGGGUGCUCCGAGCGCCCCCGGGGUCGAAGCAAAGGUGAUAAUUCCACUGCCUGGGAAGUACGGUCGCAAGGCUAAACUAAA